GAAUUUGAUAUAUAUGAAUAUUAUUGAUUAGUAAAAUUUAAUAAGUAUUAUAUAUUUGAUUGGGAGGAUAGUUAAAUAUUUAUAACUUUAAUUAAAAUAUAAUAUAAAUUAAUGAAGUUUAGAGUGGUUAAUAAAUUAAUAAAGAAUUAAUUACCUUAGGGAUAACAGCGUAAUAUUUUUAGAGAGUUCAUAUUGAUAAAAAUGUUUGC
rnacentral:rRNA from 1 species